ACAGCACACAAGCAUUGUUACAGCAACAUGACUGCUGACAGUUGGCAUUAAAUAUUAACGCAUGCGACUGAAAUGCGAUUCUGCAGCCGCUGAAUCCGAUUGUUUGGGAGACACCCAACACGUCCUGCCCAGAUUGCCAUAGUUAACAUGCUGUACAGACUGGGAGCCGCAUUAAACGAGCUGCGCUCCAAAAGCGGGCGAAUGAGUCACUGGCAGCUGGCGAGCGCAGCAUAAGAUACUGUGUCACGUUUCCUCUACGAAGCCUUUCAAGCAGCAGAAACAUGAAAAAAAAGAGAAAAAAACAGGAGAGCCACGGAGAGGAAGAGGAUGCUGUAUUAGGAGAGCAGAAGGAUGAUGGAAGCCCCACAAACGGACAUCAAAGGUGACAAAUUUCAGCUGUUUAUUGUUACUGGUCAUCAAUUGGAAAUAACCAAUUACUUUAAAGUAACUGGAUUAUUUGAAUUAAACCAGAAUUAAAGAUGAAUUACUAUUAUAGUUAUAGAUCUGGUUAUUACUCUUCAGUAAUUUGAAGGCGACAGAUAUCCAGCUCCAACCCUUCACCUUCAAACUCUUCUUCCUCAGAAAUGUCGGAGUUGGUGUUUCCUGAACAAUACGGCUCACAAAAUACGGUUGCAGUUCUCCAGUAGAACCAGUUCACUCUUCUCCAUCACUCCAUCUAGCUUCUACUUCCAAAAUUGCAAAUAAAUCACACAAAUCUUUGCUGAAAUCUUCAGUGUACUCAACCUUAGUCGUUUAUGGUUUGACUUACCCUGAACAGCGACACUUUGCAUUUAUAGUAUUCUGUGACAAAUAUUUAUCAUUAAAAGCGUUUGUGUAUACAGAAUGAAAGCACAGUAGGUCAUUUUAAAAAAAAUUUUUUAAGUGGUUUUAAUGUGUCAGUGACAGUUUAAUGUUGGCCUUCAGCAAUAUGAAACAGGGAAUUGGACAAGAUUAAAAGCUGAACUUUAAAUGAACUCAAAAGUGACCAAAAAUGACGUACAAGAAAUUUAUUAAGACCCACUAUUCAGUCAGAAUAGUUAGGAAUAUUAUUAAACCCUAAAAACAACAGAUGACUCAAAGCUAAAAAUGUUCAGAGAAAUUAUCUGGUGAACUGAAUCAGUUGCUAAUCAGCAGAGCUGUUCCUUAUUGGCAACUGGAUGAUCAGAAACCAAAUAAUCUCUGCAUUCAAAAGUUUUCAGAUUGUGGUAAUAAAGACACAUUGAUGCU